rnacentral:rRNA from 1 species
UACGGAGGGUGCGAGCGUUGUCCGGAAUCACUGGGCGUAAAGGGCGCGUAGGUGGCUUGGUAAGCGUGCGGUGAAAGCCCGGGGCUCAACCCCGGGUCGGCCGUGCGGACUACCAUGGCUUGAGCACUGUAGAGGCAGGUAGAAUUCCAGGUGUAGCGGUGAAAUGCGCAGAUAUCAGGAGGAACACCGAUGGCGAAGGCAGGUCUCUGGGCCACUACUGACGCUGAGAAGCGAAAGCAUGGGGAGCGAACAGG